AGGAAUAUUGGUCAAUGGACGCAAGUCUGAACCAGCCAUGCCGCGUACAGGAAGACGGCUCUAUGAGUUGUAAACUGCUUUUGUACGAGAGUAAACGCUCUUACGUGUAAGAGCCUGAAAGUAUCGUACGAAUAAGGAUCGGCUAACUCCGUGCCAGCAGCCGCGGUAAUACGGAGGAUCCAAGCGUUAUCCGGAUUUAUUGGGUUUAAAGGGUGCGUAGGCGGUUUGAUAAGUUAGAGGUGAAAUACCGGUGCUUAACACCGGAACUGCCUCUAAUACUGUUGAACUAGAGAGUAGUUGCGGUAGGCGGAAUGUAUGGUGUAGCGGUGAAAUGCUUAGAGAUCAUACAGAACACCGAUUGCGAAGGCAGCUUACCAAACUAUAUCUGACGUUGAGGCACGAAAGCGUGGGGAGCAAACAGGAUUAGAUACCCUGGUAGUCCACGCAGUAAACGAUGAUAACUCGCUGUCGGCGAUACACAGUCGGCGGCUAAGCGAAAGCGAUAAGUUAUCCACCUGGGGAGUACGUUCGCAAGAAUGAAACUCAAAGGAAUUGACGGGGGCCCGCACAAGCGGAGGAACAUGUGGUUUAAUUCGAUGAUACGCGAGGAACCUUACCCGGGCUUGAAAGUUACUGACGAUUCUGGAAACAGGAUUUCCCUUCGGGGCAGGAAACUAGGUGCUGCAUGGUUGUCGUCAGCUCGUGCCGUGAGGUGUCGGGUUAAGUCCCAUAACGAGCGCAACCCCUACCGUUAGUUGCCAUCAGGUCAAGCUGGGCACUCUGGCGGGACUGCCGGUGUAAGCCGAGAGGAAGGUGGGGAUGACGUCAAAUCAGCACGGCCCUUACGUCCGGGGCUACACACGUGUUACAAUGGUAGGUACAGAGGGCAGCUACCCAGUGAUGGGAUGCGAAUCUCGAAAGCCUAUCUCAGUUCGGAUCGGAGGCUGAAACCCGCCUCCGUGAAGUUGGAUUCGCUAGUAAUCGCGCAUCAGCCAUGGCGCGGUGAAUACGUUCCCG
rnacentral:rRNA from 1 species